AACAAACGCUGGCGGCGUGCCUAAUACAUGCAAGUCAAACGGGUAGCAAUACUAGUGGCGCACGGGUGAGGAAUACAUGGGUAAUCUGCCCUCGAGUUGGGGAUAACCAGUCGAAAGAUUGGCUAAUACCGAAUAAGACCACGAGAACUGAGGUUCUUGAGGUUAAAGGUUUUUCGCUUGAGGAUGAGCCCAUGUGGGAUUAGCUAGUUGGUGAGGUAAUGGCUCACCAAGGCGACGAUCCCUAGCUGGUCUUAGAGGAUGAUCAGCCACACUGGAACUGAGACACGGUCCAGACUCCUACGGGAGGCAGCAGUAGGGAAUAUUGCACAAUGGGGGAAACCCUGAUGCAGCGACGCCGCGUGAGUGAUGAAGGCCUUCGGGUCGUAAAGCUCUGUCGUAUGGGAAUAACAAAAUGAAUGUACCAUGCAAGAAAGGAUCGGCUAACUUCGUGCCAGCCGCCGCAGUAAUAC
rnacentral:rRNA from 1 species